AAGCCGAACGUUUCACUAGAUUUGCAGCGGAUUCUGUAAAUUAAUUCGAAUUCGAUUCUCGUAUGGAGGGCUGAUAGAAGCGCGCGACGAUGUCCGCAAAGGUCCUGUCUAAUAGCUCUGUAAUUACCGGUCCUACCGAUUGCGAAUACCUGGCGGUUCAUUACGUUGCGGUGAUGCGGUAGGCUACCGGCCCUUGGUCGAUAUCGGGAUAACGCGCCUGAUAUAACAUACAUCGUUCCAUCAUGGGGCUGAAUAUCGGCUGGAAAUUCUGCAUGAAAAUUUUCGUUCCACUGGACCAACGGACAGAGAAACGAACAAGUAACGCAAAGAGCAAUGUCGAAAAAUAGACCGUUAUUUUGCCAAACUUACGUCCUACGUAAAUCGUAAAAAUCAUAGAAAAUAUAAGACGUCGUAACUUCCGCGACUCUCGACACAUCAAACACGCUCGUUUCUCGAAUAAAACUACUUCUAACGACUGUGUGUACAGCGUUGCAACU
rnacentral:misc_RNA from 1 species